CAGCAGAUGACUGAGAUUUACUACUGUCUGCAAUGAUGCUCGAUAACCCUCCCACCCCACAUAUAACGCUCAUUAGCGGUGUGCAAGUCAAUGAGUAUGCACACCCUCCCUCUGAGCUGCCCCCAUACAGACUUUUCAAGGUGUCAUAAACGCCAUCGUUCCAUUAGGCGCUGCCACCCCGGGGACUCCUGAAUUUGACAGUGGUUUUCAAAUGUCACAGUCAAAUUGGAAGCAAAUGUGAGUCAUUAUUUGAGAGCGUCACACUGUUUUCGAUUUGGUGGCCAUUGUCAUUAAUACUCAUUUAUUUGUCCGGUGAGUUUGUUCACAUGACUGCAGCCGUAACGGAGGCAAUGGCUCACUCCCUACCUGAGUGACAUUUGCUUUUUUAACCUUUACGUGCUGCUAAUUUUCCAUGCACACACUGAAUGUUCUGGGUCAGUUUUCACAGAUUAACAGUUGUGUAUAGUACAUAUCAAAAUAGGAAUCGCACAUUUGUCUUGUACUCAUAAACCAACAAUAAUAAAUAGACAAUUAAAGGUUAAAGCUGGUGUCUCACUGAGUGAUGAAUGCUUGUAAUGAACGCUUGGGCCUGCUGCUCAAUUUUAACGUUACGGUGGUAUUUUGUCGAGUCGUUUAAAAAAAAAAGAAAAAAAAAGAACCAUACACAUACUUUGUAGCACCUGUACAAAAGAAUGGCAUUUAUUUUUGUAUAUUGUGGACCACUUUCAAUAAAGUUAUCAAAUUGAAAGAAUGAUAUUUUAGGGUAGGCCCAUUUUCAUUGUUUUCAAAUGUCAAAAUGGGUGAAAUUUGACCCAGGCAGUAUGAAUGGGUUUGAAUGAAACCAUUAGUGCUGUCUACACGGCCUAAGUCCACGACCAACAUUGUUUGGAAUGACAGACAAGCCAAUGUGAGCUUAAUUAUCUUUAUUGUCUCCUGACAAAUAGCACACACUCCACCUAAAUAACACCCUGUUGCCAUAGGUGACUGCUAUGUCACCUAUAGUACAAGACAUUCUACACAAACCUGAUAUGCCUUUGUGGGCUUUUUCAUCCUCCGGCCUUGUCUCCGAUCCGCACACUGUUGGAAUUGUUCCUGUGGUCAGUGGCUUUAGAUCCCUCUAUUAGUUGGCAAGUACCAUGUCUUGUCCCUUAAUACACAGCAAAUCAAUGUGAUGUGUUUGGUCCACUGAGGGGAAAUCAUCACCACCAGUGGGGCUCUCCACAAGAUGUGCUUGCCCAGCAGGGUUGGAAAUGGCGGCUCCUUGCAGGGUAAAUGAUUCCGCCGUGAGAACUAAACAGACUUAAGACUCAGUGGUGCAACCACCUUGUUGCCAUCAUGACUCCAAUGUGUUUACACCAACCAACAUGAUCAAUUCGUCUUCAAAAUCCACUUGAACCAUAAGGAACUGUUUAACUGUUGGAAUUAUUCAUUCAUUCUUCAAACCGCUUAUAUAAUACGACUACCACACUGAUAAUAAUAAGUUAUUUGUUAGUUGCUAUUUGUUAUGCUAUUUGUGGCAUUCUUUGGGAUCCACCAUUUCAAACAAAAAAA